rnacentral:sRNA from 1 species
UGAGAGCUGGGGGCACCAGCCAGGUGAGGCGGACAGGGGUAUCUCAGCUUGCCUGGCCCAGCCCCAACCUUUUCCUUGUGCCCUCAGGAGGCAGCGGCUAUUAUUGCCCAGCGGCCUGACAACCCAAGGGAGUUCUUCAAGCAGCAGGAAAGAGUCGCAUCGGCCUCUGCGGGCAGCUGUGAUGUACCCUCGCCCUUCAACCAUCGACCAGGCAGCCACCUGGACAGCCACCGGAGGAUGGCGCCCACUCCCAUCCCCACGCGGAGCCCGUCUGACUCCAGCACCGCCUCCACCCCUGUCGCUGAGCAGAUAGAGCGGGCCCUGGAUGAGGUCACAUCCUCGCAGCCUCCACCACUGCCACCGCCACCCCCACCAGCCCAAGAGACCCAGGAGCCCAGCCCCAUCCUAGACAGUGAGGAGACCAGAGCAGCAGCCCCUCAGGCCUGGGCCGGCCCCAUGGAGGAGCCCCCUCAGGCACAGGCGCCUCCCCGGGGGCCAGGCAGCCCUGCAGAGGACUUGAUGUUCAUGGAGUCUGCAGAGCAGGCUGUCCUGGCUGCUCCCGUGGAGCCUGCCACAGCUGACGCCACGGAGGUCCACGAUGCAGCUGACGCCAUUGAAACUGACACUGCCACUGCUGACACCACUGUUGCCAACAACGUACCCCCCACCGCCACCAGCCUCAUUGACCUAUGGCCUGGCAACGGGGAAGGGGCCUCCACACUCCAGGGUGAGCCCAGGGCCCCCACGCCACCCUCGGGUACUGAGGUCACCCUGGCAGAGGUGCCCCUGCUGG